GGGCGAUUGGCUCAGUGGUAGAGCAUCUCGUUUACACCGAGGAGGUCGGCGGUUCGAAUCCGUCAUCGCCCACCA
rnacentral:tRNA from 1 species